UUGUUGGUAAGGUAAAAGCUUACCAAGGCUUCGAUCAGUAGCUGGUCUGAGAGGACGACCAGCCACACUGGGACUGAGACACGGCCCAGACUCCUACGGGAGGCAGCAGUGGGGAAUUUUGGACAAUGGGGGCAACCCUGAUCCAGCCAUGCCGCGUGAGUGAAGAAGGCCUUCGGGUUGUAAAGCUCUUUCAGCCGGAACGAAACGGUUACGGUUAACACCCGUGACUACUGACGGUACCGGAAGAAGAAGCACCGGCUAACUACGUGCCAGCAGCCGCGGUAAUACGUAGGGUGCGAGCGUUAAUCGGAAUUACUGGGCGUAAAGCGUGCGCAGGUGGUUUUGUAAGUCAGAUGUGAAAGCCCCGGGCUCAACCUGGGAACUGCGUUUGAAACUACGAGACUAGAGUGUGGCAGAGGGGGGUGGGAUUCCGCGUGUAGCAGUGAAAUGCGUAGAGAUGUGGAGGAACACCGAUGGCGAAGGCAGCCCCCUGGGUCAACACUGACGCUCAGGCACGAAAGCAUGGGGAGCAAACAGGAUUAGAUACCCUGGUAGUCCAUGCCCUAAACGAUGUCAACUAGUUGUCGGGCCUUUACGGGCUUGGUAACGUAGCUAACGCGUGAAGUUGACCGCCUGGGGAGUACGAUCGCAAGAUUAAAACUCAAAUGAAUUGACGGGGACCCGCACAAGCGGUGGAUUAUGUGGAUUAAUUCGAUGCAACGCGAAAAACCUUACCUACCCUUGACAUGUAUCGAAGCCCGCAGAAAAGCGGGGGUGCCCGAAAGGGAACGAUAACACAGGUGCUGCAUGGCUGUCGUCAGCUCGUGUCGUGAGAUGUUGGGUUAAGUCCCGCAACGAGCGCAACCCUUGUCAUUAAUCGCCAUCAUUUAGUUGGGCACUUUAAUGAGACUGCCGG
rnacentral:rRNA from 1 species